GUUCAUGUGGCCUAGUAGUUAGAGCAUCCGCCUCGGAUGCGGGAGGUCGCGGUUUCGAUCCCUGGCCGAAUCA